UGGGGAAUUUUGGACAAUGGGCGAAAGCCUGAUCCAGCAAUGCCGCGUGUGUGAAGAAGGCCUUCGGGUUGUAAAGCACUUUUGUCCGGAAAGAAAUCCUUGGCUCUAAUACAGUCGGGGGAUGACGGUACCGGAAGAAUAAGCACCGGCUAACUACGUGCCAGCAGCCGCGGUAAUACGUAGGGUGCAAGCGUUAAUCGGAAUUACUGGGCGUAAAGCGUGCGCAGGCGGUUUGCUAAGACCGAUGUGAAAUCCCCGGGCUCAACCCGGGAACUGCAUUGGUGACUGGCAGGCUAGAGUAUGGCAGAGGGGGGUAGAAUUCCACGUGUAGCAGUGAAAUGCGUAGAGAUGUGGAGGAAUACCGAUGGCGAAGGCAGCCCCCUGGGCCAAUACUGACGCUCAUGCACGAAAGCGUGGGGAGCAAAC
rnacentral:rRNA from 1 species